UCGAUGCCACUUUCUAAAGUAACAUGGCCUGUUUACCUGUGUGUUUGGAAGAAUCCUGACUGGCCAGUUCAUGCUUGAAUUUCACCGGGGAGACAGAGUGACAGAAUGAGCAAGAGGAUAGAGGUGAACUUCAGAAUGUGUGGGUGGACACAGGAUAAGCUUGAAGGAGAAGAUAGUUGUGUCCCUGUGUCUUCUGAUUGGAUUCCCGGUUUAUCUGAGACUGAAAUCGUGCUUCCUUCUUGAGUUUCCUGGGUUGCUGCAUGUUUGAUUGCAUUCUCCAAUCCUCCCCUCGCCAUGAUGGAUCCCUGAUGCCAGGAGGACAGGUCCAGGCUUAUAGGCCAAAGACAUUUUGGAGCAGGUAGAGCCCAGAUGGCAGGAUUGCAACUGACCAGGCUUUGACCCUAACGCCUUCCAAUCGACAGCAUCACUACUCUUCAUUCACUGUGCAUGAAAGCCACAUUAAAGGGAAGAGAAAGACUUGUUUUGGACAGCUUAUAUAUCACUUUUCUUGGCCGCGCUGGUGAGAGAGUAGAUGAGUGAUUAGGUUUGCCAGCUGUCCAGUGAAUAAACUCCAACACUGAACACUUUCAUUGAGCAUCAUGACAUAUUCAUUACAAGGAUUGAUUUCAUAAAAGUGACUAAAAGCCCUGUAAAUGUUGCAUAAACUUCUGAGAUGAUGUCAGCUUAUUUAUUUACAUAUUGAUUUUAGCAGCAGUAAAAAGAAGACAUUCUGUUAUCCGUGUCUGCGCGAGCAGAAAUAGGAAGUCUCUGAUCCUGCGACAGACAAUCCGGCGUAGAAAAUCAAAACAGCUGCAGUUGUAAGUGUGUGGUCUGAGAAAAAGCUCUUCUCACUCUAUUGUAUUUGCCCUCGCUGUUUGUCCACUCUCCGGGGCUUUAGGCAGUGACCUUCGUCCGAGGGACAGUAUGCCUCUUUGUAAACCCAGACACAUUACAUCAGACGAUCGGAUUCUAUCAU